rnacentral:rRNA from 1 species
AAUAGAUACCCCGGUAGUCCACGCCGUAAACGAUGUCGACUUGGAGGUUGUGCCCUUGGAGGCGUGGCUUCCGGAGCUAACGCGUUAAGUCGACCGCCUGGGGAGUACGGCCGCAAGGUUAAAACUCAAAUGAAUUGACGGGGGCCCGCACAAGCGGUGGAGCAUGUGGUUUAAUUCGAUGCAACGCGAAGAACCUUACCUACUCUUGACAUCCAGAGAACUUAGCAGAGAUGCUUUGGUGCCUUCGGGAACUCUGAGACAGGUGCUGCAUGGCUGUCGUCAGCUCGUGUUGUGAAAUGUUGGGUUAAGUCCCGCAACGAGCGCAACCCUUAUCCUUUGUUGCCAGCGAUUCGGUCGGGAACUCAAAGGAGACUGCCAGUGAUAAACUGGAGGAAGGUGGGGAUGACGUCAAGUCAUCAUGGCCCUUACGAGUAGGGCUACACACGUGCUACAAUGGCAUAUACAAAGAGAAGCGACCUCGCGAGAGCAAGCGGACCUCAUAAAGUAUGUCGUAGUCCGGAUUGGAGU